rnacentral:rRNA from 1 species
UAUGUGAUCGUCUCUCGCAUAUCAAUAAGCGGAGGAAAAGAAACUAACAAGGAUUCCCCUAGUAACGGCGAGUGAAGCGGGAAGAGCUCAAAUUUGAAAUCUUAAAGGGUUUCCCUUUAACGAAUUGUAGUUUAAAGAAGUGUUUUCUGUUGAGGUUUUGGUAAAAGUUCUUUGGAAUAGGACAUCAUAGAGGGUGAGAAUCCCGUAUUUGACCUUUACUUUCAACUUUGUGAUACACUUUCAAAGAGUCGGAUUGUUUGGGAAUGCAGUCCAAAAUGGGUGGUAAAUUUCAUCUAAAGCUAAAUAUUGGCGAGAGACCGAUAGCGAACAAGUACCGUGAGGGAAAGAUGAAAAGAACUUUGAAAAGAGAGUUAAACAGUACGUGAAAUUGUCAAAAGGGAAGCGUUUGACACCAGUGCUGUUUUUCUGAAAAUCAAUUAAAGAACUGUUUAUGCUAAGCUGUUUAGACUUUAUCAGCUAAUCUGUUUAGUUUUGAGCUUUUCUUUAAUGCACUUUUCAGUUAACAAGUCAACAUCAAUUUCUUUUGCUGUAAAAAAGCUUGAGGAAGGUGGCUUGAGAUUCGUCUUAAGUGUUUAUAGCCUCUUGCCUAUGCAGUCGGAGAGAUUGAGGUCUGCAGCGUAGAUCCUUCGGGGCUAAAUGCAUUUGUGCUAAGUUAUAGCAUUUUAUAGACAACUUGUUGACUAUGAUUUGUCUUGUAGCUUACUCGCUUAUGUUAUUUUACCUACGCUUAGGAUGUUGAACGCGCACAGAGUCUC